UACGGGGGGGAGCAAGCGUUGUUCGGAUUUACUGGGCGUAAAGGGCGCGUAGGCGGCACUGCAAGUCGGUUGUGAAAUCUCCGGGCUUAACCCGGAAAGGUCAACCGAUACUGCGGGGCUAGAGUGCAGAAGGGGCAACUGGAAUUCUCGGUGUAGCGGUGAAAUGCGUAGAUAUCGAGAGGAACACCUGCGGCGAAGGCGGGUUGCUGGGCUGACACUGACGCUGAUGCGCGAAAGCUAGGGGAGCGAACGGG
rnacentral:rRNA from 1 species